AAGAAAUGGAGGCAGUGAGAGAUUUUACUUUUUUGGGCUCCACGAUCACUGCCGAUGGUGAUGGCAGUCACGAAAUUAAAAGAUGCCUGCUUCAUGGGAGAAAAGCAAUGACAGACCUAGACAUCAUCUUAAAAGGCAGAGACACCUCCUUGCCAACAAAUGUCCGUAUAGUUAAAGCUAUGGUUUUCCCAGUAAUGUAUAGAAGUGAGAGCUGGACCAUAAAGAAGGCUGAUCGCUGAAGAAUUGAUGCUUUUGAAUUAUGGUGCUGGAGGAGACUCUUGGGAGUCCCAUGGACUGCAAGAAGGUCAAACCCAUCCAUUCUUAAGAAAAUCAGCCCUGAGUGCUCACUGGAAGGACAGAUUGUGAAGCUGAGGCUCCAAUACUUUGGCCACCUCAUGAGAAGAGAAGACUCCCCGGAAAAGUCCCUGAUGUUGGGAAAGAUGGAGGGCACAAGGAGAAGGGGACGACAGAGGACGAGAUGGUUGGACAGUGUUCUCGAAGCUACGAACAUGAGUUUGACCAAGCUGCGGGAGGCAGUGGAAGACAGGAGUGCCUGGCAUGCUCUGGUCCAUGGGGUCACAAAGAGUCAGACACAUCUAAACAACAAAACAAGGCUGCCUUCAGAUGUCUUCUAAAAGUCAGAUAGUUGUUUAUUUCCUUGACAUCUGAUGGGAGGGUAUUGCAAAGGGCUGGUGCCACUACCGAGAAGGCCCUUAGCUAUAGCAGUAUGCUUUUCAACCACUUGCAAAUGCAGAAUAGGAAUGUUCUGGUAAAAUAUUCUGGCAAAACAUUGUUGGUGGGGUGGGUGUGUUAUAUUUUCAUUUUGUUUUUGUUUCAACUGUUUAUUUUGUACUUUUAUCCUGUAUUUUUUUUUGUCUUGUGAACAGCCCUGAGAUCUUCAGAAGAAGGGAGGUAUAUAAAUUUAAUAUGUAAUAAACAAUAAAACUAUCUCACAAGCACGUCACAGUCUUAGCAGCUGUGAUUUGUCAAUUUACUGGCCCACUUACCCACAUAUGUACUUAACUUCUUCCUGACAAUAUUUCUCUUAUGUUUUCUAUCAUAUUUACUUUGUCCACACUUCCAUUUGUCAGGUGCUUUCUAGGCAGGGGCUCAAGCGGUUUUGCCUUUGCCCUGCCAUUUUCUUUAAAGAACAAACGUCAGUCUGGAGGAAACCAAAUUGUUGUUUGCUUUCUCUCUCUUUCUUUUUUUAAAAAAAGUUAAAAUAAAAUUGGAGAAAUUUGGAACAGCAAAAUAAAUUAGGAAACGGAGACUUUUAUUGAUGUUGAUAAUACAGUGCAAAAAACAAAUCAGUGAAGAAAAAAGUCAGUGAAGGCAAUAGAAAUUGCCCUAGGAAUGGAGGUCUUGCCUUCUUAGUAAGGGAAUACUUUUCAGAAUGUAUAUUUUUGAAUAGCUGAGGCUGUUUAUUUUUUCUUUCAUUGUGUUGCUUUCAGCUGAAAUGCAUGGUUGUUGUUGUUGUCCCUGCAUUUGUAACUUCACUUGGCAUAUAACUAAUUCCCCAUUCAGAUUUUUCAUCCUAUCAUGCCUACU